ACUACGGUUGACGCGGACGUGUUUUCCCGAUUCUGGUCGGGUUCUUUUGAGACCAUCUGAUCGUUAAAAUGAUCCAUAAGAGAUCGAUAAGCGAGAGGUGACAGCCGAGCCGAGCCGAGCCGAGCCGAGCCGGUUCGUCAUGUCCGGACAGAGGGGCGGGAAAUCCCUGAUCAUCACUGACGAUGAGGAAGAGGAGGUCCAGGAUGGGCUGAACCCGUUCUCCUUCAAAGAGUUUCUGCGCUGGAAGAACCAGGACCAGAACCAGAACCAGGACCAGGACCAGAACCAGGACCAGAGAGACAGAAAGGAGGAGGCUUUGGGGCGGAGCUUCCUCUGCGCUAGCGAGGAGGAAGAGGAUGCAGAUGAAGACGAUGGAGGAGAGGAGACAAGGUUCUCCUCCAACCCUGAAGGAGGAGACGAGAUGUCCCUCAGCCAAUCGGACGCCAGCAGGGGGCGGAGCCUGAUCCAACAGAUGAGGGAGGAGAACUCGGCGUUGAGGCGGAGCGUCAGGGAGCUGCAGAGGAGAGCCGACCUCCACCAGUCCAGGGCGAGGCGGCUCUCUGAGGAGCUGCAGCAGAGGAAGCGCCAGGAGGAGCAGGAGGCGCAGGACCUGGAGAGCAUGGUGCAGUCAGUGGAGCAGAACCUGCAGCUGAUGAAGAGGCGAGCAGCGAAGGCUGAGAGCAGCGUUUCCAGACUGAAGGCGGAGCUUCAGCAGCUGCAGGUGGAGGCAGAUGCUCUGCGAUCAGAAAACAACCGUCUGAAGGCUGCUGAAUCUGAGGUCGUCAUGACGAUGAGACAAAACGCUCAGGUGGCGGCCGAGUACCUGAGCAAGUCAGCAAGCCACGCCUACUCCUCCGUCAGAUGACCUGAAGGGACGUUCUUCCUCUGCCACUCUGAGCUGCUCUCUAGCUCCCUCUCUGGAAGCUUCUGGAGUGACAAGUCCAAGUUCCAGAUGCUCUCAGCCUGUCCAGAUGUUCAGGUCCCAGAGGCCGGAGCUGAGCCGCCAUUGGCUGCUUCAGGCAGCUGAUGGAGGAAGCAGAGACUCUCCGUUUGGUCUCUCAGCUCCUGCAGUCCAUCGAUAAGAUCUCCAGUGUUCAGCCUGAACACCUGCAGGACACCUGAGGGUGCAGUUGCCAUGGAAACGGUGGAGUCGGCACCCUGAGGUUUUACUUUAAGAAGAGAGGAAAGAUGGAGGAGGUUCAUCUUCAUAUCUGUCCUCCUGGACUCCAAGAUUUUACUGUUAUUGUUUUGAUUUUUGUGAGAUGAUGAUGAAGAUGAAGAUCUGGAGGUUUCAGCGCUGAGCUCUCCUCCUCCUCCUCCUCCUCCUCUUCCUCCUAAAGAUUUGAACUCGACUUUGAUGUAAACCUGCAGGAUCAAUAACUGUUCCUCCUCUAAUAAAUUCUCCUUUAAUAAAUACAAACCUGAAGAAUCUCAGUAAACUGGAGAGACGCUGAUUUGUUCCAGAAAGUAAAAUCUAGACCCGACCAACCAGGAACUGAUCCUUAGCCAAUCAGGACGCUCCGUGUUCUCAGCACAAAAAUAUUUGAAAAUAAAAGCCUGUGCUGUCCAUGUUGGUGAAACUCGGCGCCGCCCUCGACAAGAACAAAGACGAUCUGGACCAGGCUGGAGAACUGGUUCAGGAGAUCAACC